rnacentral:rRNA from 1 species
CGGGUGAGCGGCGGACGGGUGAGUAACGCGUGGGAACGUGCCCUAAGGUACGGGACAACCCGGGGAAACCCGGGCUAAUACCGAAUGUGCUUCCGGUCCUGCGGGUCCGGAAGGAAAGGAAGCUUCGGCCUCCGCAUCGGGAUGGGCCCGCGGCCCAUUAGCUUGUUGGUGGGGUAAUGGCCCACCAAGGCGACGAUGGGUAGCUGGUCUGAGAGGACGAUCAGCCACACUGGGACUGAGACACGGCCCAG